UACGUAGGGUGCAAGCGUUGUCCGGAAUUAUUGGGCGUAAAGAGCUCGUAGGCGGUCUGUCGCGUCUGCUGUGAAAACUCAGGGCUUAACCCUGAGCUUGCAGUGGGUACGGGCAGACUAGAGUGCGGUAGGGGAGACUGGAAUUCCUGGUGUAGCGGUGAAAUGCGCAGAUAUCAGGAGGAACACCGAUGGCGAAGGCAGAUCUCUGGGCCGUUACUGACGCUGGAGGAG
rnacentral:rRNA from 1 species